UACGUAGGAGGCGAGCGUUGUCCGGAAUUACUGGGCGUAAAGCGCGUGUAGGCGGUCCCUUUUGUCGCCCUUGAAAGCCCCCCUGCUCAACGGGGGGAGGGAGGGCGAAACGGGGGGACUCGAUGGAGUCUGGUAGGGGGAGGCGGAACGGCCGGUGGAGCGGUGAAAUGCGUAGAGAUCGGCCAGAACACCAGUGGCGAAGGCGGCCUCCUGGGCCAGAACUGACGCUCAUGCACGAAAGCGUGGGGAGCAAACGGG
rnacentral:rRNA from 1 species